GCAACCAAUGGAAGAACGCAAUUUAUUUUUCUUGUUGCUGAUUGGCCGUGCAACCAAGGGCGGAAGUAAACAAGACUGAAGACGUUAGCUUGUCCGCAUGACACAGCCCUAUGUCACAACCAGAUGGAAGGAGGAAGAUUGAAAAGUAAAAAUGGCAGCUGUCGUCAGCCGAGGGUGAAGAAGUCGGGGGCCACCAUGCCGAACACGUUGAUCCUAUCGCAGAGCUCCAGAGCGAUGGUCAUGGUGAACCAGCCGGUGCUCAGCCACGAGUUGGAAAUCUUCCUGCAGACGGAG